UCAGGAUGAACGCUGGCGGCGUGCCUAAUACAUGCAAGUCGAGCGAACCACUUCGGUGGUGAGCGGCGAACGGGUGAGUAACACGUAGGUGAUCUGCCCAUCAGACGGGGACAACGAUUGGAAACGAUCGCUAAUACCGGAUAGGACGAAAGUUUAAAGGUGCUUCUGGCACCGCUGAUGGAUGAGCCUGCGGCGCAUUAGCUAGUUGGUAGGGUAAAGGCCUACCAAGGCGACGAUGCGUAGCCGACCUGAGAGGGUGAACGGCCACACUGGGACUGAGACACGGCCCAGACUCCUACGGGAGGCAGCAGUAGGGAAUCUUCGGCAAUGGGCGAAAGCCUGACCGAGCAACGCCGCGUGAAUGAUGAAGGCCUUCGGGUUGUAAAAUUCUGUUAUAAGGGAAGAACGACUUUAGUAGGAAAUGGCUAGAGUGUGACGGUACCUUAUGAGAAAGCCACGGCUAACUACGUGCCAGCAGCCGCGGUAAUACGUAGGUGGCGAGCGUUAUCCGGAAUUAUUG
rnacentral:rRNA from 1 species